rnacentral:lncRNA from 1 species
GUCAGGUCAUUAAAGAUUGCAUAUUUUGGCGUUAAUAUUGAUUCACUUAUAGGGUCUUUGCAUCAGAACUAAACACAUUUAUUUAAUCAAAGAGCUGAAAGCUCUGAGGAAAAUGACGCCACUGCCUCUAAUAUUGGGAUAUUUUUAUGCAAGUCUUGAUUUUCACAUACCGUAAUAAGUUUAACAUUGCAACAUGUCUCGUAAGCAUAUAAUUGAUAUUCGUAUAUGUGUGUGUGUGAAGUAAAGAUGACAACUGACUGUUUUUUUAAGUACAAAUGAAUAGGUCAAGAGUCAAGACUUCUUGAAUGAUCUACAGUAUCCAAUUACUACUGGCUGUUGUUUUUUUUGUACAAAUAAAUAGGUCAAGACUACCUGAAUGAUCUACAGUAUCCAAUGACUACUGGCUGUUUUUUUUGUACAAAUAAAUAGGUCAAGAAUACUGGAAUGAUCUACAAUAUCCAAUGACUACUAGCUGUUCUUUUGCACUAAUAAAUAGGUCAAGACUAUUUAAAUGAUCUACAAUAUUCAAUGACUACUGGCUGUUCUUUUGUACAUACUAAAUAAAGACUACCUGAAU